AGAUUGGGUGGCUAUGAUAAGGUAUCCAUUGUUUGCCUCCAAAUAAAAUGAAUAUUAUCCAUUUUCGCUUGCAUGUUUAAUUUAUUUUUAGACUAUUAGUUGUACUUGGCAUUGGCUGCUGAAGUUAAAAACUUGAUUAUGUUUGAGCCAGAACAGAGCAUCCCACUGAUACAAUUGUGAAUGAACAACACUCACAUAUGCAUGCAUGCGCACAUGUACUCACAAGCAAGUGCACAGGCACACUGCUUGCACACAAAAGGCUAAAGUUGAUUUCAAGAAGUGAAGUCACAUAUUUAGGCCUAAUAACUAAAAGAAUCCAAUGCUUUACACAUUUUUUUUUUUAAUUUUAGCCAAUCAUUUUGAUUUUGUCAUUUUGGCACGGCCUUAUAAUAUUGGCAACAAUUUUAUCGAGUUCAGCGAGUGAGAACUGAA
rnacentral:misc_RNA from 1 species